GGUAUCUAUAUGAUCAGCACUGCCUGAAACGUGUUUUUCUUGUUUUUAAAGCUAUCCUUAACAUCUCCGGCAGUUCAUUUUCGAGCCUUCAAACAGCCUCAGCAACUAACCUUACUUCAGUAUUGAUUGGGCUGUCUCUUGGCAUACUGACCUACACUGAAUCAAGCCUGGCUCAACAGUUCUGUGGUAACCAAGGACAAGACAGUACAAUGAUGGCUUCUUACAGGUAGCAGACAGACAGAGAUCCGAGACUCCUGGCUGAUCUGGCUGAAAAUGAAGGUCCGGAUUACUGACUCUUUUGAGCGGAGGCUGUGGGGACAGUUUGCUCCAUUUAGCUGAUCUGCUGAUACGGAGGUCAACCUGUAGUGUUCAGAACUUUGGAGGAGGUGGUUCAUUGUCUUUUUAGCAAAAUUCAGAUCACACCUUCUCACAUACGGCCUGUGGAAGCCAUUGAGAGUAAUUUAUCGGCAGGUUUGUCUGUCUGUGGCAUUGCAGCUCUUUAUUGAGUUGGUGAAAGAACAGUUUAAUCAACUCUUCUCCUCCUGGUCUUGAUUGCUAAACCGGAACAUGAAAAACAUGCCCCCCAUGAAUGAAGAAAUACAGAAAUAAAUAAAUGUAUUAAUGAAAAAAAUGAAUUAAUA